GAGGGUAUAGCUCAGUGGCAGAGUGUGUGCUUAGCAUGCAGGAGGUCCUGGGUUCAAUCCUCAGUACCUCG
rnacentral:tRNA from 1 species